UCACGAAACCUUAAGACGUUAGUGGUAAGAAACAUUACCAAUCCGGAGUGGAAUUAUUACUUGACCCUCUCCAUUGAAGAUCCUGUGGUUCAUGUUCAACUUGAUGUAUUUGACAAGGACGCAUUCCACGACGGUCCAACCGGCAACGCAGAGCUGGACAUCAGGCCACUGGUGGUGGUUGUGAAGAUGAGGCUCCACGGUAUCCCUGACAACAUAGUCAUGAUGAAACUGGCGCCUAAUAUGUAGAACUUCCUUGCCGAGGAGAGCGCAAUACACAUGUUCAGGAGGAUGGCGAAUCGGGACGUGGUUCUAAGGCCAAGGAACAUGGAGUGCGGGGAGAUUGAGCCCCAACUUUAGUGUAUUAACAUCACUGGUUCUAAGGGCGUAUGA
rnacentral:rRNA from 1 species